GUGGUCGUUCCACUGGCUUCAGCUCCCCAAAUUGCUGUCUUGAAUAAGUUCCUCUUCCUUGAAAUCAAAAGACCUCACUAUACACCUAAAUAGCUUAUUCCAACCUGCUUGGAACCUUGUGAUAUAAGAAACACAAGGUGCUCAUUGCCAACACUGACUCUGAUUUAAAGAUCAAAGAAAAUGUAAGAUGAAGAGGAUGUUUCUGUCCUAAGAAAACAGAAGCAGAGAGAAUUAAGGCAGACAGUAAUUGAGGGAAACUUGGACUAUACUUUUUGGCUUUUGCUUUUUGCUAUUUCUUCUGCUGUUCUUACUGACAUGUUAUCCAAAAGUAGUUCUGUUUGUCUAGCUGUUUGUAAAUUUGAAUCACAAGAAUCAAUCAAAGUCAGUUCCCUGUGCCAACCAAUAGGGGAAGAAGGAAUGGCUCAUGCAAGAUGGAAUUUGACAACAACUUGGCAUGCGGGAACUCGCGUGGAAGCUGUCUGGGCGGCUGUGUGUGGAAACCGUGAUAGGACUAGCGCGGAACACAACAGCGUGGGCGUUGAUCUGUGCCUUAGGAAAGCAUGCCAAUUGCACACCAUCAGCCCAGCGACAGAUAUUCAACACCGUCUGUAGCAAUAAAAAAGUGACACAAAACCUGGAGACAGCUGAGGCAUAUUCUGGAGAUGGCUGCAGCAUGAGGCUCGCAGAUGGGGAAAGGGUGUCCAGUGCCAUGCUGGGAUCUGAUGGAUCAGCACUCAGCGGCCUGUGUUCCCCGACACCUGGUUUCCUCUGGGUCUUCACAUUUUCCCCAGGUUCAUUCUCCAGAUGUCCUGUAAUUUCUGUAAACCACCAGAUAGCUUUCUAACAAAUUCCUUUCUGCUAAUAUUAAUAGGACUCCCUUUCUUUUGUUCGCAUGCGAGAACCUGCCCAAAGCACGUUUUAAAUCUUAUCUUGGAGAUCUUAUCUUCUAAGCCACUCUCUCUCGUUUUCUAUAAGGGGAAACUGAGUCUGCUGGGAGAGUUUGAGGAGACAGCUCAUUUCGCAGAACAUAUCUGGAACUGAGGAUCUAGUGAUGGGGACUUGACAUUUCUCUGUCACUCAGACAUAAGUGGCAAAUAAAUCUCUACUAAUGAAUCAUUUCUCAUUUCUCAUUUCUCAUUCUAUAAAACAGAGUCCUGUACAUCUGUGCAGGACUCAAGGACACUGCACAGAAGCCCUGACUCCUGGUAACACUGAGCUUAAUGAAAUAUAAAUUUCAUUUCCUAAAACCUCCUCUUUCAAUAAGUCUUUGCUCUCUUACUCCAAUCACUCGAUUGCCCCCCACUUCCCAGAAUUUGGGGAAUGGAAACAGAGGAAUAGAGGAUGACACUGGGUUCUCAAUAUUGGGAGAAAGAUGACUUAUCAAUCACAUACACACAUCACAAAAGCAAUCAGCAAAGAAAAUGUUCAAGAUGGUUUAAGGGGAGGGCGCCUGGGUGGCUCAGUUGGUUAAGCGACUGCCUUCAGCUCAGGUCAUGAUCCUGGAGUCCCGGGAUCGAGUCCCGCAUCGGGCUCCCUGCUCAGCAGGGAGUCUGCUUCUCCCUCUGACCCUCCCCCCUCUCAUGUUCUCUCUCUCUCUCUCAUCUCUCUCUCAAAUAAAUAAAUAAAAUCUUUUAAAAAAAAAAAAGAUGGUUUAAGGGGAAACAACCAUUCUUGAAUGUAGAGAUGGGGAAAAAGGAACAGAACUUGGUAACAGAAAUAACUGAUAAGUGGCUACAUAAGAAUCAGAAGGAGAAACCAGCCAGAAUCAGGAGUGUGCAUGCCAUGAGUGCCCACAGAAUAGUGUGCUCUAAGAAGAAGGGUGUGGUCAACAGCACCAUCCCAAGCGGAAGACCAAGAAGCAGGAGGAUUCAAUAGGAAAACAGAUUUGGGAUCUGCUAUGGACUGUAUGCUUGUGUCCCUCCCCCACCACCCCCACCUCCAAAUUCCUGUGUUAAAUUCUAUCUCCCAAGCUGACAAUGUUAGGAGGAGGGGCCUUUGGGAGGUGAUGAGGUCAUGAGGGUGGAGCCCCCAGGAUAGGAUCAGUGCCCUUAUAAGAGACCCCAGGGAGCCCCCUCGCCCCUUCCGUCAGGUAAAGACUCAGGGAAAAGAUGCUGUCUAUGAAUCAGGAAGAGGGUUCUCACCAGACACAGGGUGCCUUGAUCUUGGACUUCCAGCUUCCAGAGCUGUGGGGUUGCUGUUUAUGAGCCCCCCAGUCUGUGGUAUUUUGUUACAGCAGCCAAAGCACUAAGACAGAAACCAAGAUAGUACUGAAGAUCUUAUUAAAAAAUGGCCUUUUGGCAUAGAAAAUGCAGGAGAUUGGGAUUAGCUGAGAAAUGGGUAGGCGAUAGGGAUGUGAAAGCUAAGAAUAUAUACAACUACUCCUUCCAAGAAAUCUGCCAUUGAAAGGGUGGUGAGAGAUGGUAUAUUUUUUUAAAAGAUUUUAUUUAUUUAUUUAUUUGAGAGUGAGAGAGAGCGAGAGCAUGAGUGGGGGUGGAGGGCAGAAGGAGAGGAAGAAGUAGGCUCCGAGCUGAUCAGGGAGCUCCAUCCCAAGACUCUGGGAUCAUGACCUGGGCUGAAGGCAGAUGCUUAAUUGACUGAGCCACCCAGGUGCCCCAUGGGAGAUGGUGUAUUUAAUCAAACCACAGCCAUGGCCAUAGAUUCUUCCUCCACACAAUGCCAUCUCCCUCUGAGGACAGCCAAGAGUCUACCCAGUGUGUUAAACAGACCUAACUCUUCUUAUGAAGAGUUACCCCCCAAAAGGAGAGGGGGGUGGGGGGAUGGGUUAGCCCGGUGAUGGGUAUUAAAGAGGGCAGGUAGUGAAUGGAGCACUGGGUGUUAAAUGCAAACAGUGAAUCAUGGAACACUACAUCAAAAACUAAUGAUGCAAUGUAUGGUGAUUAACAUAACAUAAUAAAAUUAAAAAUAAAUAAAUAAAUACGAUAGGUCUCUCUGCCCUCUCUGCCCUCCCUUGCUGAAAUGUGCAAUAAUUUCAAUGUUGCUUCAGAUUGUACUUUGAUAACAUGUUGCCACAGUGAGAUACCACCUCAUACUCUCUAGGAUAGCCAUAAUCUAUUUAAAAAAACAAAAAACAAUAAGUUUUGGUGAAAAUAUGGAGAAAUUAAGAUGCUCACAUGUUUGGUGGGAAUGUAAAAUGAUACAAUGCUAUGGAAACAGGUUGGCUAAAUGUAAUUACUAUAUGAUGCAACAAUUCUACUCCUAGGUACACAGCAAGAAGAACUGAAAACAGGUGUUCAAACAAAAACUUGCACAUGAAUACUUAUAGCAGCAUUAUUCAUAAUAGCCAAAAGGUAGGAGCAACCCAAACGUCCAUUGAUGGAUAGAUAAACAAAAUGUGGUACAAUCAUACAAAGGAAUAUUAUUCAGGCAUGAAAAGGAAUAAAGACCUGAUUCUUGCUACAAUACGGAUGAGCCUCAAAAAUGUCAUGCUGAGUGAAAGAUGCCAAGACACAAAAAGACACAUAUUCAUUCCAUUUAUAUGAAAUAUGCAGAAUAGGCAAAUCCAUAGAAACAAAAAAAAAAAAAAUCAGUUGGUGCCAGGGGCUGGGGGCAAGGGGAAAUGGGGAGUGGCCCUCUGGUUUGGGGUUUCCUUUUGGGUUGAUGAAGACUCUCUGAAACUAGAUGGAGGUAGUCGCUAUACAACAUUGGGAAUGCACUAAAUGAGACUGUAUUAUACAUGUUUAAGAGAUUAAAAUGGUCAAUUUAUGUUAUGUGAAUUCUAAUUCAAUAAAAAAACCAUUUGGUUCCUAUUUAAAAAUUAUUUUGACCCCUAAACCUUGAGAUUACUUAGUGAAGGACAUGUUUUUAACCUGAAAGUUUCAAAACUAUAGAUUCUUCUUUCUAAAGAUUGUUACUUAUUUGAGAGAGGGAGAAUGAGAGAGCGAGAGAGAACAUGAGAGGGGUAGAGGGAGAGGGAGAAGCAGGCUCCCCGCUGAGCAGGGAGCCGGAUGCAGGACUUGAUCCUGGGACUCUAGGAUCAUGACCUGAGCCAAAAGCAGUCACUUAACCAACUGAGCCACCCAGGCGCCCCGAAGCUGUAGAUUAUUAAGCCGUCUCUAGAUAACCUUCCAACCCCUUGUUAGCCUAAGAGAUGUUAGUCCGAUUUCUAAACCUAUCUAUGACUUUCAAGUCUGAUUGAAAGUUGAUUUUUUUCAAUCAUGAUAUAGUUGGUAAACUCUCAUUUGGAAAUGGAAUGUUAACUAUUUUAAAUCAGAAAACCAAGAUUCUAAAGACUUUCUCUCUGAGAAUCGAGAGAGGUCAAACCCUUCCACCGAAGGGUCAGUCAGCCCAUGUCGCUCUUCAUAUCAUCUCCAAAGAAAGAAUUCAUGAUUUAUUGUGCAAAUUGAUCAUCAGAAUGGACAUUUACUUUUCUUUUUUUUUUUUUUAAAGAUUUUAUUUAUUUAUUUGACACACAGAGAGUGAGCACAAGCAGGUGGAGUGGCAAGCAGAGGGAGAAGCAGGCUCCCCGU